AAAAAAAAAAAAAAAAAAGAAUCAUUGAUUUUCUCUGCUGUCAAUUCUCUAAUUAUGUUUGGAUGGUUGGUAAUGAUGGAGGAGCUGAAACAAAAACUGAUGAAGUUGACUAUUAGGUUACUUUUAGAGAAUAUAUAGCCUGGUCAACUCUUAAUCACCUUUUGAACAGUAAAAUGAAUUAGGACAUUUAAAUAGCACAAGAAAAUUUCACAUUCAAAAGAAGUUGAUCUAGCUAUUGUUAUCUUUAGCUUGGAGAUUACUAUAUUUUUU
rnacentral:misc_RNA from 1 species